rnacentral:rRNA from 1 species
UAGUCCACGCUGUAAACGAUGUCUACUUGGAGGUUGUUGUCUUGAAUGAUGGCUUUCGGAGCUAACGCGUUAAGUAGACCGCCUGGGGAGUACGGCCGCAAGGUUAAAACUCAAAUGAAUUGACGGGGGCCCGCACAAGCGGUGGAGCAUGUGGUUUAAUUCGAUGCAACGCGAAGAACCUUACCUACUCUUGACAUCUACAGAAGCUUGCAGAGAUGCGAGUGUGCCUUCGGGAACUGUAAGACAGGUGCUGCAUGGCUGUCGUCAGCUCGUGUUGUGAAAUGUUGGGUUAAGUCCCGCAACGAGCGCAACCCUUAUCCUUGUUUGCCAGCACGUAAUGGUGGGAACUCCAGGGAGACUGCCGGUGAUAAACCGGAGGAAGGUGGGGGACGACGUCAAGUCAUCAUGGCCCUUACGAGUAGGGGCUACACACGUGCUACAAUGGGUGCAUACAGAGGGCAGCGAGACCGCGAGGGUGGGAGCGGAAUCCCAG